rnacentral:lncRNA from 10 species
GGCUUCUCUGCCUGACAAGCACGAUGUUGCCCAUUCCUUUACUGCGCACGUGGUGACAAAGAAAAGGGAAGAUGGAGCCUCCAUAUCGAACAUGCCUGGCCAUCAGUCCACAAAGGUCCUGCCAAAGGACACAGCAAAGGUCUCAUUGAACAAGAUAUGCCUGCUAUCAAGGAACUUUGGAUUUCUUGUGCCCAAGAACAAGCAAAUAAGAAGAGAAGUCAUUGUUUCAGCAAGGAUAAUUGUGUUCAUCAGAAGGAGGAUUCCAAUUUUCCAUGGGAAAAACCCCACUAUCACUGAGUGAAGAAGAUUUUGGCACUCUCAGUCCUCAUUAUCCCAGCUGCUUAAGAGUAGAGGAAGAAGACCUUCCCAGGAUGGCCACUCACCACCUUGCAAUGCCAAGAAUUCAAUUACUAUGAAGAAUACAAGUACAGAGAAGAAAGGAUAGGGGGUAAAGUUACUGGAUCUUGUGUUUGGAAGUACAGAGUGAAUAAUCUGAGACCUAGCAUUCUUCCUGCAAUAUGUACACAGAGAGGAAGUGUGACAGGCAUGAGGUGCACCUCAGACUUUCAACUCUAAGGACCUUAACUGGCCAAAGCCUGCUGCACUCUGAAUCUACCAUAUUUUCACCAAGGGUGUGCCUCUUAUUGGCUUCUCCAAGCCAAUGACUGAGCACACGAGGAUCCUGAAACAAGAUUAUUCCUGAAGAACAUAGGUCUCUUCUUAUACCCAGCUUUGGCUCUAGGACUCUCUGAUGAUCAUGCUGAACCUUCUUACAUUGCAGAGCAAACUGUUUCCUUUCAACCUCUUUUCACAAGGGGUCAGAUUUUCAUCCCCCAGUUUUAUCCAGCUCCCUCCCCAUUUCUGUCACAGAGGCAUUUUUUUUCCAAUAAAAGCCUUGCCUGUAAGCCCGCCUUAAUGUCUACCUCUUGUUGGACCUAGACAAACAUAAGAGGUACAUAAGUUGAGUGAUCCAAAAAAACCAGGCCAUUAAAUGGGUAAAGAGACUGACUCACUCGCCACUCAACAGUUGGAGAGGAACAUCAUUCUCCUUUAUAAAUGAGAAAUGGAU